rnacentral:rRNA from 1 species
AACGAACGCUGGCGGCAUGCCUAACACAUGCAAGUCGAACGAGACCUUCGGGUCUAGUGGCGCACGGGUGCGUAACGCGUGGGAAUCUACCCUCAGGUUCGGAAUCACUCAGAGAAAUUUGAGCUAAUACCGGAUGAUGACGUAAGUCCAAAGAUUUAUCGCCUGAGGAUGAGCCCGCGUAGGAUUAGGUAGUUGGUGAGGUAAAGGCUCACCAAGCCGACGAUCCUUAGCUGGUCUGAGAGGAUGAUCAGCCACACUGGGACUGAGACACGGCCCAGACUCCUACGGGAGGCAGCAGUGGGGAAUAUUGGACAAUGGGCGAAAGCCUGAUCCAGCAAUGCCGCGUGAGUGAUGAAGGCCUUAGGGUUGUAAAGCUCUUUUACCCGGGAUGAUAAUGACAGUACCGGGAGAAUAAGCUCCGGCUAACUCCGUG